rnacentral:rRNA from 1 species
AAGCUCGUAGUUGAAUUUCGGGGUUAGUAGGUUGGUCAUGCCUCUGGUAUGUACUGGUCUCACUGAUACCUCCUUCCUUAUGAACCGUAAUGCCAUUAAUUUGGUGUUGCGGGGAAUUUGGACUGUUACUUUGAAAAAAUUAGAGUGUUUAAAGCAAGCUAACGCUUGAAUACAUUAGCAUGGAAUAAUGAAAUAGGACGUUCGAUCUUAUUUUGUUGGUUUCUAGGAUUGACGUAAUGAUUAAUAGGGAUAGUUGGG